CCUGGCUCAGAUUGAACGCUGGCGGCAUGCCUUACACAUGCAAGUCGAACGGUAACAGGUCUUCGGAUGCUGACGAGUGGCGAACGGGUGAGUAAUACAUCGGAACGUGCCCGAUCGUGGGGGAUAACGCAGCGAAAGCUGUGCUAAUACCGCAUACGAUCUACGGAUGAAAGCGGGGGAUCGCAAGACCUCGCGCGGAACGGAGCCGCCGAUGGCAGAUUAGGUAGUUGGUGGGAUAAAAGCUUACCAAGCCGACGAUCUGUAGCUGGUCUGAGAGGACGACCAGCCACACUGGGACUGAGACACGGCCCAGACUCCUACGGGAGGCAGCAGUGGGGAAUUUUGGACAAUGGGGGAAACCCUGAUCCAGCCAUGCCGCGUGCAGGAUGAAGGCCUUCGGGUUGUAAACUGCUUUUGUACGGAACGAAAAGGUCCUUUCUAAUAAAGAGGGCUCAUGACGGUACCGUAAGAAUAAGCACCGGCUAAC
rnacentral:rRNA from 1 species